UCUCUGCCGGCGCAGGUCCCGCGCAGCGCGGGUGAAAACGUCACGUGGGCGCAGCGCUGCCAGUCGUAGAGGCGGGAGCGACGGAUAGAGCGGCGUCGUGCUGGGGCGCUCCCUGCGCCGCCAUCUUGGUUGUGGGCAGGAGCUGCGGGGUGGCUGUCGCCCGUGAUGAGUUUUCACUGUCUUUGGGUUCCGCUUCUGUUUUUGCUGCAAUUAUCCGGCUAUUCUACGUUCCUUUUCCUCUGCUCUGCGAUUUGUGUUUAGUGAAGUGGUUAUAAAAUCCCCUGAACGAACGUCUAUGUGUCUGGUUCUAAGUUGUGGCCUUGCUGUGUGAGGCUGUGCUGAGAACCCGGCUGCUGCUCGGCAGGCGUGCGCUGGGAGCUGCUGGCAGCACGGGGAAGCAGAAGGGCAGUUUCCAAGGAAAAUGAAGUAAUGCAUGUAAAGCCCUUGGAAAGCGUUCUUAAAGUGAAUGCAAACUGCCGCGGUGCUCUUGUCUGAAAGCUCUGCAGAGCAGGACUGCCUGAGCUAACGCAUGGCACGCCGAGGCGCUGCCGUUUUCCACACCGAACAAGAAUGGGGUCCUGAAGCCCUCUGGUGGAUGUGCUGUAGAAGGCAGGCAGCUGAGAGGAGAGUUAUGGUUCUGUUAAGGAAGCCUCUGGCGUGGCUGUAGGGGAAUGUUCAGGAACCAUUGUGAUGAAUUCCAAUUAAGAGUCUUCCUGACACCAGGGGCUGCAGAAGUCAAAGAAUGCCCUGAGCAGCACAGCAACAGUCUGCGCGGAGCACAGAUAAAGACAGCUCCUGAAUCACAGAAGUUAACUGUCCUGAGGAUAUUGUGAGCUAUUUCUACUUCUAAAGCAGUCAAGAGUUUAUGUGCAGCCUGUUCACCAUGCAUAUCUUCGUUAAUGGCUACUUGUUCAAUGACCUCAUCUUCCCUUAAUAUUUAAAACAUUUCACUUUGGGUACAAGCAUCAGUAUGUUGAUUUGCUGGAUGGUAUUUUUCAGGAUCAUUUUUGUCCCUUUAAAACAGAGAUGUUGUGUUCGCUGUUCUCCACUCUGCCAUUUCCCCAUGUCCCUCAAGCUUUUCAGGACUGGUUGUGUGUGAUCCAGUAAACUCAUCCACCUGCCCACUUAGUAUCUUUGGGUGUGUAUCAUGUAGGUAGGUUGCUGGCACUGUGAAUGCUUACAUGUUCCAAUGCUUUCCUUGUCUACAUCUUACUAAAGAAUUUAUUGUUGGAGACAAUUGUUAAAAUCUCAGAAUGUUCCAACUUUUCUUUUAGUUACAAAACAGAUAUCUGUUUUUAAUAUUGCCCAGUCUCUUAGAAUGUAAUUUUCCUUCAUUGUAGACAGAAUGGUGAUCUCUGUAGAUUUAUCACACCACGCUUUCACACUGAGAUUGCCUGUUGAUUAUGGGAGAAUGUCAACGGUUUACGGGCCAGUUCGGGUCGAUCAUUAAAGGAGCGUAAGACAAGUUGGAGUUGUAGAAAUAGUUCUUUUGUGCAAGUUUUUUUUGUUUUAUGAAGGUUCAUAAAUUCUUGGAAGUUGUGAAAGUUUUGCUAUAGUACAGCUACCUGUUAUGGGGCCUUAUACAGAAACCUCAGGAUGCAAUUUUCUGGGUUGAAUGCAUUGGGAUUUCAAAUGUUUUCUUCUCAAUCUUUAAUGCUGUUUUAUCAGGAUGAAUUUUGAAAAGCCUUUUUGCUUUCUUCUGCUGCACAUGUGUGUGAUGCUUUGCCGUUAGCCUCUGACAGUGAGCACACAUCAGUAAAUUCCACUCAGUUUAACACCGGGGAUGUCGUAUGUUAGUCCACUGUUGGACUCAAGUCACCUAAACUUUGGUAGAGAAAAGUAAUCCUGACGUGUGGGAGACUUCAGAACAUAGAAAUCUGGUUUUGCUCAGAUUUGGAGCCUGCUCUGGGCCCGCCUGCCUAGCGGGUGAGCCCUGCAAGGCAGAGUCCCUGCUUCUAGAGAGCUGCCAGGCAGUUUUACUGCAGUGUUGUGAAAAUUGAAUUGCUUUUACAGACUGUUUGGAUUUCCACAAAUUGACUUUCACUUAUGGAAAAUGCCCUGUUGGAAGAUUUUCAGCCUAUUCUAUUAAUAUUGAAAGAGAAAGUAUAAACUGAAAGAAUAGGAAAAUAGGAAAUAGGUUUUAACUGUCUGCUGAGCGAAAGCUUUGUGCAAGCAUUUGGUUUCCUGACAGCGUUCUGCACAGAUUUCCUUGAGAUACACACACAGCAGCAGAAAAUCUGGCCUUCUGACUUUCACGGGCUGUUGUGAGAGUAUUUGUAAAUGAUUGGGAAUUGGAGAAGGAGAAUUGAUUUAGCCUAGCCUGACUCCUUGCUACAUUUUUACUCCGCCUCUAUGACCUUAAACUGCGCUCGACUUCCUGGAAAAUUAAUGCUUGACUGAGGAAAAAUUGAGCGAAUGCCUCAUUACUGGGUGUGUUUACAGCAUACCUUAAUAUAAUGCCUAACUCUUUGUUAGGCAAACAACGAGUAGUUUGGAGAAUGGGUUAUUAAUGACUUUGCAUUUGGCUUUGCCUUGUGUUGACCAAGAUAGAAGUUCAGCAAGAGUAAGCUUGAACAGUGUCAGGCAAAAGGGAUUCUUCUAAUGGAGCUAAAAAUGGAGCAGCAGAGGAGGGGGAGUGAGAUCUGAGAGGUGCUGAUCACUCCUCCGAGAUGUCAGAGGCAGGCAGAGCAGGUAUUGCUCAUCCCAAAGCGGGCUAUGGGGAAACAGGUGCAGAGUAGCAGAGGGUGUUGGGUUGUCCCACGCCAUGACGUGGUGGCUACCCAGCAGCACUCUCAUUUCUGAGGUACCUGGGGACACCAGAUGUGUUAUGGAUCACUGGGGAUCAGUUGAGUGAGAUCAAUAUCAGACGGAGUCCCGCUGGCAAUGAACCGGAGCGGGAUGGCAGGUGGGGGCUCAGAGGCUGGCCUGUGCUGGGAGGGGUUGCAUUCAUGCGCAGUGCCUUCUGUCGUGUGGUGUGGUGCUGACCAGCAAUCGUGGUGUUGUUUACAUGGUGCCUGAAGUGUGCUAGGUGUGGCAAACGUAACAGGCAAACAUAACAUCCUGGAGAGCUUAAGGGAAUCUGCUGGAGAGAGAGGAGUGCUGAGGGAAUGAGAGAGAGGGGGGAGGAGAAACAAGCCAGAAGCUGCCAAAAUGACAUAACCAAAAAAAAAAAAAAAGUUUUUAUUUUUCAUGUGCACAAAAAGAGAAAAGAGUUGAACAGAACUGAAGCGAUGAGGAAAAGCCAAGAGUGGCUGCAACAGCCUAGAAUGGAAAUUACCCUGCACCUGGCACUCGUCCUCUCCAUGGGCUCAUGCCUUGCUCAGCCUGGAGAGCAUCAGCAGAGCUGCAUAAGGUUGGAUCUGCUUUCAGUUCUCUAAUUGCUGUUGUUUGUUCCCUCCUUCCUGCUUUGCAAGUUAGCCACUGUCUUGGACCCAGCCAAGGACACAACAUGGUAUGUGUGGGGUUCUCUAGAAGCCCCCAUUCUGUCAGACCCCAAGGGCAGCUAUAAUUCUCUUCUGAGAGGCCUGCUUUUCUUUAGGGAAGAAAGGGUGUUUUUUUCCAACAAUUCAGUAAACCAAAAAAUUCCUUUAGGAAAAUGAUGCUGUAUAUAUAUUAAUCUAUACUCAAGAAGAGAAAUAGGUGCAGGGUUAUUUUUGUUUUCCUUCUGAGGUUUGUUUGUCAGCCUCACAUUCACUUCUUCAGUUGCGGUCGUGUUCUGAAUGUGACCCAUCAUUGCUGGGGGGUCACAGAGCAUGCAGAUGUGGCCCCAUUUCCACAGAGCAGGGCUCGUUGCUGCUUUACCUCCCACUCCAGGUUUUAACAGAUCUGCCCUGUGCAACCCUUCCAGCUUCUUGCCCCCACAUCCCGCUGGGCCAGAAGGACAUGAGAGCUUCAGAGAACAGGACUCAAAAGUGCUGCCCAGUUUUUAAUAGCAUGGUCUCUGUUCCUCCCAGUGAAGUAUGGCAUUUGAGAACUCACAAGAUUCCUCCCUCUCAAACAAACAAACAAAAAAACAACAACAAACAAACAAGCAAAACUGUUACAGGAGAAGAUGCAGUUGCACAGCAUUUCUGCUUGGUCCAUUAGAUAAAGCAACCAUCGCAGAAGAGCUAAGAAUGAUGUGAAAGAAACGAAGGGAGAGCUAGAGAAGAACAAAGAAAUGAAGAGCUAUUUGUGAGAAAAAUAAAAGAGAGAAAUGUAAUGGAAAUGUUCAUUAUUAUUCAGAAUAACACUUAGCACUGCAAUAGAAUUUUCUUUCCAGGAUCUUAAAGGUGAGCUGGUGCUAAUUAAUUCAGCUGCACCGUACCUCUGUGGACUAGGAACUACUGUUAUCCCCAUUUUACAGAAGAUUGGAGUUGAGGCAUAGGGGAGAAAUUGGACUUGACAAAGGUUCACUGGAGCCAGGUGGAGAACUGGAGAGUCUGAACUCCCAGAUACCUACUCCCAUACCAGUAAUACUGAUCUGGAUAGAAAAGUGCCCCGGGAAUGAAAAACACUAAAAGAAAGAGAUAGAAGUGAAUUAGAGUAUGAGAAAGAAAUGAGAAAGGGAAGAGACAGCAGAAUGGAGUAGAGAGAUCUGAGUCACAGACUUCACUGGUUUUGCAUAGCGAUUUCUUUCCUCCAGGUUUUUGUUUUUUUUUAAAUCUUUUUUUCCUGUAAGACUUUUAAAAUAAUAAUGAAAAAGAAUCCAUUUAUAAUAAAGCAGCUGUUGGCCAGCUGGGAAAGGGGUCCUUCCAAGGUUUGGCUGUUCCCUCAGGUUCUGGAUUUGUGCUGUGCUUUAUUGAACACAGUGUUUUGUUUUCAGUGAGCACAACAAGACUUGCACAGUACAGACAGAGUGUUCCUUAUCUACAGGAUGAGACGAGGCUGUUUUAAUAACUACCAUGAUGAAGAUGGAGAUGAACUUAUAUACACGAGGGAUUGCCUUCACAUUACACACAUUAUCUUCCUACAAAGCAGCAAUUGUUUUUGCAAAUAACAUAAUAUUAAAUAAUUGGUAAAUUUUUGCGUUUCCUGCAUAGUCCAGUCUAAUGGAAUCUAUAUGAAUAUUGAUGGUUUUCUUCCGCAUAAUAUCACCACAUAAAUCCCUGUGUCAGCUACUAGACUUUAGCUAUAAUACUGCUUUACAAUGCAUCCACCGACUGUAAAUCAAAACAAUCAACACAAGAAACUCUUUGGCAAAUGUAAUUCAGUACAUUCGCAUGGGGGUCUACAGAUGGUGGUGGAAGAGGAUUAGACUGCCCAGUCCUUUGCAUAAUUCUGCUUUCCUUUUGAUUUUCCUGAUCGAACUACUUGCAAUUAUGUACUUUCCAGACCAACCCAACGCCUGGUGGAAGUCCUCUUUUAUUGGCGGAGUUCUGUCAAUGGUGAAUUUGUCCCUCUGAGGGUCAGAUCAAACCAGCCAUGAGUGAGCCAACCAAAUCCAGCUUUUGUGACCUAUCUCAUGUCUCACGUUUGGCGAAACAGCUUUAUGAAAAAGAGCAUUUCUGAGCUGCUAGCUUCAGUUGAGGUGGCCCCUGGGCUGCAGGUUGCUAAACGUGAGGUGCAACCAUUUCCUUUCCUUGAGCCUCCUCAGGAAGUUCUAGUGGCCAGUACUGGGAUGCACUGCCUUUGGCCCUGAGCACAGGUAGGGCAAGGGCUGUACUGAUGAACUAAAAGGGAGACUAUGGAACCGGAUCCAGCAUCUGUCUGGUGUCUAUGGAGGAAAACAAGGAGUGGUACAUUUUUAGACAUUACUCAGAUUUUUGCUUCUCAUGUAGAAUAAAAUGAGAUAAUGGGCCAAAUUGUGGUCUCAGUAACAGUGAAACAGCUCUUCUAUUUGCAGCAGGUUACUCAGAGGUUAGGUGUGCAGAAUAACACUUUAAAUAGUAGAUCAGAAGUAACCUCUUUGACUUUAUUCUGUACAGGAACAGAUUGUAGCUCUUCAUGUUCUAUGUAAACACCCCCACCCCCAUACCCUUUUCAUUUGGGCAUUCCGUUAAAGAAGACACAGACCUAUAAUCAGCUAGAGCCAUGCAAGGGCUACAAGUGUUAGGUGAAAGGGGCCUUCGGGAUCAACACAGCUGUUUAGUGAUGGUGGCUUUCAUACAUACAAGUUAAACUUGAAAACAGAAGGCUGAGUCCACAGCCACAUCUCAGUGGCUGGGAACUUUGGAUUUCAUACAUAAUGUUGGCUAUACGGACCAUACCAUUUGCUUUUAUGCCCUUUGGAGUUUUGAUUCUCAAUCCUGUCUUUGUCCAUGGACAGUAGUCCAUUCAUUUUAUCAGAAACCUCUCUAAAACAACAAGGAUCUGCUUUGGCAGACUUGAUGCCCUGGGGACAGGCUAUAGCUGCCUUCAUGUUUUCUUUGAGUAUUUUUUAAGAAGUGUCAGUGCAAGGAACAGUUUAUGAGUUUGCUGACAAUACAGGAGUAAUAAGCAUUUCUAUUGACAGUUAGCCUUUUGCAGAACAGUGUUUGCUAGUCACUUGGGAGCCAAAAAGAGCAGAAAAAUCCCUAGAGAAUCAUCAGGUGAGCAUUUGGGAUAAGGGGUAAAUAUUAGGGUGCACAAUAUAGGGUUGAAUGUGAAAAGAUGAGGUUGCAUAUUGGGACUGGCUGGAAGGAUGUGGGCAUAUGGAUUUGAAUGUAAGCCCAUAAAUUAUCAGGCAUAUGAGCAGAUGGACUGGAAAUUGAAGAGGGGCCCAUAUUGCAAGGCUGCAGUGGUCGGGAAAUUAGGUGUUGGAUACAGAUAAUGAGGCUGUUGUCGCCAGGCUAUAGGGAUCUGGAGAAUGGGUGCCGGACAUAUGUAAAACUGGGAAAGCUGGGAUGUGGGUGAACGGACGUAGGCAUGGGUGCGGGGAUUAGGGUGAAAGGAGAGGAGCCUAAGGGCUAGGGAACCAAGCAACAAUCCCAGCCAAUCCUGAAUUUGUCCAUCUCAGUCUCAGCUGUCCGAAGGGCAAUCAGAUGGGCCCAUGUGAAGCCCCACACUUUCCUUUCCACCACAAAGCGCAGUUAGAGUGCAGCUGGGCUUGUUUUCUUUGUUUGCCAACCAGUGACAUGGAAAACAUUUGUUGACUCAGAGAGCUUUUUGUCGACUGAUGUGUUUGGUAACUUUGUCAGAUGUGACUUGUCCACACGGCUCCCCAGAGACAGGAUUUGGGAAAGGGGAGGAGGAGGAGGCGACAGGGGUGGAGCUGGCAUCCAAUCCUCUCCAAUACCACCAUCCCAUUGUAGUGCAAAACAGAAAGGAAACAAAACCCGAGAGUGAAAGAGGAGCGUCAAGCGUCAGAGGAACUGGUCUGCUAUUCGGGUGGCGGGGAGGGGUGAGACUUGAAGUUUUAUUUUUGUAGGGUUUUUUAAUUAUUAUUUUGUUU